UGAUACGAAUCUGCUAGGAAAUUUCAAACUGAAAAGGAUUAACAAGUCGACGGUCUACGGAUAGGGGAAAGACUGAAGGGGGAAGAAAGAAACUAACUCAACCGAAUAUUUGGGUUGAGAUGUCAGCCAGUAUCAGGGUAGAGAGUAAUGUGAGAGAACGCGGUUAUUGUAUAAGCGUGGGUAAUCUUAAAGAUGAAAAAAUUUUAUCAGAUUAGAUUUUUCCACAUUGACCUUUGACAAAUGAAAACUCCUAGAUGCACAAUCGACCAAUCGGGGUAAAAAUCAGAUAGCGAUCAGAUAACUGAUUGGAUGAGAAAAUAGUUACACUUUAAAGCUGAAAAGGCGAAGAUAUUGGCCAAUAUGCAGCAGAAGUGAGCCUAAAUGCCUCGAAUCGCUUAAACGAGGUACCGUGCAAUAAGUGAGCACAAGAUGUAGGUACGAUAGCGAAUCGAACGGCACUUGGCGUAUUCAGUUCCGAAUGUGCAAAUAACAGUGUAUAAUUAAAGCACAUUAAUCUCAGUUAACGAAAUCGGUCGACAAAGUAGACCAAUGGGAAGGGUUCAAGCGAGCCCUUGGAUUAAAUUAAUGGAAGGUUGUGAAGGGCACGUAUUUACUAGAUGAAGAGAGCGCGCUUUUCAGUAUGGGUUAAUAAAAUGAAAACUUGUGCUACUAGUUUAAGCAUAAUAAAUGGAAAAAGCUUCCCCCAUUUGCUAUUGCUAUAGUGUGAAUACACAAUUGAGAAACUUUUAAAAAUGCAAGUUUUAGAGAGGAUGGAUGGGAUGGAUACGCGUUUGAAAAUGCCUUUUUUCUACUUCAUUAGUUACGCCUUGUGAAAUGGAAAAAAAUCUUGAAGCCAAGUCUUCCUACCCAGAUGGGAAAUUCAAGACAAAUGCUAGGAAUGUGCAACAGAUCAUGUUUGCUAAAAGAUAUUGCAAGUGUGUGUCGUUUGACUUAUUGACUGGACUAGUCGACGCGUUCAUCCCAUGAAUAGGGGAUUUCGCAAACAUUUCUUAUUGCUUUUAAAAAUGGAAGUGCAGUUUUGUUAUUACUUUUAAAGUAAAAAAGAUGUUGCUGUUAUUUCUUUAAUGUAAAUUAAUUAUAUUUUACUAUUUGCAUUAACGAAAAACGAUGCAAUAUCUAAAUUACUUUUAGGGCACCCCUUAUCCUUGCUAUGUUAAAUCUGUCAUGGAUGUAAUGCUAUUGCUAUUGCUAUUGCUAUUGCCAGUGUAAUAAUAAACCGCGGAGCUGAGUCAGCACUAAUAGCGUCAUACCCUUAUCUCUGCACUUAUCGUAUCGCUCGCCAUCUUUUUUAUAAUUUUACGAGCGGAGAAAUUUUUUGAUGCAAAAGAUAUUUAACGAAUCAAUACAUUGUCUUCUAAUCCAAUAACUACGUAUUCUAAGGAUGAAUACUUUAUAAUGGGAUUCUAUGAGAAUAUUUAUUUCGUUUAUAUAAUCUUAUGAAGCAUUUCAAAUAAGCAUAACAUGUAUCUAUUCUCUUGUUCGAAAACCGAGCCAAGGGAUCAGGGGUCAUUUCUAAUGAAUCAGGGGACUUCUUUUUCUUUCUCAAUUCUUAUUUUGUUUCCCUUUGUUGAUAAUGUAAAAGCCUCGUUUAAUUGAGUACAAUCAGCAAGUGAGGAAUCGGUUUAUUUCGCUUUCCUUUUCAUAGAAAAAGGGACUCGUCCAUCAAUGUCCUGGCGUCGUUUAUUCAAACUUUGUCAUUCGGUGCUUUUUAACAGGCAAUUUCCGCUUUUGCUGGUCGAUCUGUAUGCGUCAAAAGUUUUGUCUGGUCCGGCAUCACACGAUGUUGACAAAAAAAUCAUCAUCCACUGCAAGGUGUAGUGGGUACACAAAGUUGGGUGUGUAUUCCCAAAUUCCAAUGCAUUUUUAUAAUAUGCGAUAAGCUCCCAUAGCUAAUCACUUGUCCUUUAACGUUGAAACUACUGUACACAAAGGUAGACCGCAGCACACACACUUGAGCAUUCAAAGUAAGAGCGUCUGCUGGAUAUUCUUAUAGCAAGGUCAAUUGUGUUGAAUGCAUAAAGAGCAUCUCUUUUCUGAAUGGUUCAACGAGCAUAUUGCACAGUGGAUUCCAAUAAAAAAAAUAAAGGAAACGUAAACGAUCGAAAAAAAAAUGCUUUUUAAAAAAUCCCGUGUCAGCGUUUAUACCAAGGAAAUAUCGCAUAGUGAUCCUUUUGCUCUACAUACUCCACGCAUGCACCAUCGAUACACUACCAAGAACCGCAGCAACUCAGCCUUAUUACUGUGUCAUCCAUCCCAUGUGUUUAUUCUUGCUGUGCCCACAGCACGCUUGCACAAACGUAUGUGGGACGGUCGUUACGUCUGCGAUGAUGACUGCCUAGGGAGCCCCGCGCGCUUUAGCCGGUUCAGGAAGAGUUUGGGAUAAUGCAGUACGAUGGUAUGCACUAUACUAGAUUUAACUUUGCAA
rnacentral:lncRNA from 1 species